rnacentral:lncRNA from 1 species
UUUUGAAACUACGCCAGACCCACCACACUUAGCCAAAGCGACAGCAGCUGCCGAAAGACAAAGCAAGGAUCCAGAUGGAGUUUCACUCUGGUUGUCCAAGCUAGAGUGAAAUAGCCUGAUCUUGGCUCACUGCUACCUCUGCCUCCCGGGUUCAAGCGAUUCUCCUGCCUCAUCCUUCUGAGAAGCUGUAACUACAGUUUGAGCUCUUCCAAUGGGACAGUCUUGGGGAGGACCAUCCCAUGAGGUAGAAGAAGCAGCUUGCUGGUUUUCUUGAACUACUUCUUCUCUGCAAGGUCAGUGGAUGGGGGAGUAGGCCUCAUCACCUUCCUCUCAACCCUCUGUC